GAGAACCACAACAGAAAUAUUCCAGCUGGCAACUCUUCUAUUUUUCUAUCUCCACUCUGUUUUAUUCGGGCAGCUACCCUACCUGCCCGUAACUGCCCCCCUCCAUCUUCCUAUAUAAACCCACUCCUCCACUCUUUUAUUUCAAAAUCUGAGUGCUCUUAAAAACAAAGAAUUCCAAACCCUAACAAAAGCAACACUAAUGGCUUUCUCCAAAUUGAUAUUUCUCACGACAAUGUUGGUGCUCGCCACCGUUAUCUCCGUCGCCGCUUCCGCCGAGGCUCCAGCUCCUAGCCCCGCCUCUCCUGCCGCCGCUGUAUCUCCAUCGUUUGCUGCCGGUGUUGUUGCCGCCGUCGUUGCUCUUGCCUUCGGAUCUGCUCUCAAGAUCUGAGCAUGCGGUUAAUAGAUUUUCGAGUUAUGUUUACUGUGUGGAGUUUAAGUAGAGAUUAUGAGACUUGAUUAGUAGUAUAUAAAUUCUCUCUCUAUAUAUUGAUAUGUAGGAGUUAUAUAAAUAUGUUGAUUUCUGGAUCUUAGUUGAUUUUAUGAUUUGAGGAGUGUGAUGGUUGUGAUCAUUGUUUCCGGUACAUAAUCAAAUUUUUUUUCAUUUUCUAAUUUGUGUUGUGUUUCGUUGUUGUAUUUAUUUUAGAUAUUAAUCUUUGGAGAAAUUAAUUAUAUUCAUGUCCUC
rnacentral:lncRNA from 1 species